CCCUUAGAUGUCCGGGGCUGCACGCGAGCUACACUGAAGGAAUCAGCGUGCUAAAACCAUUGUCGAAAGGCAUUGGUAAACCCAUUAAAAUCCUACGUGAUUGGGAUCGGGAAUUGCAAUUAUUUCCCUUGAACGAGGAAUUCCCAGUAAGUGUGGGUCAUAAGCUCGCGUUGAUUACGUCCCUGCCCUUUGUACACACCGCCCGUCGCUGCCCGGGACUGAGCCGUUUCGAGAAAAGCGGGGACUGCUGCUGUCGGGGCUUUCGGGCCUUGGCUUCGGUGGAAACCGCUUUAAUCGCAGUGGCUUGAACCGGGCAAAAGUCGUAACA
rnacentral:rRNA from 1 species